rnacentral:rRNA from 1 species
AGAACGAACGCUGGCGGCAUGCCUAAUACAUGCAAGUCGAACGAAGGCUUCGGCCUUAGUGGCGCACGGGUGCGUAACGCGUGGGAAUCUGCCCCUUGGUUCGGAAUAACAGUUGGAAACGACUGCUAAUACCGGAUGAUGACGAAAGUCCAAAGAUUUAUCGCCAAGGGAUGAGCCCGCGUAGGAUUAGCUAGUUGGUGAGGUAAAGGCUCACCAAGGCGACGAUCCUUAGCUGGUCUGAGAGGAUGAUCAGCCACACUGGGACUGAGACACGGCCCAGACUCCUACGGGAGGCAG